CUGGAUAUGUGACGUGGCCGCAUGGUCUGCGUCUGGAAAGAAUUUCGGUUGGGGAUGGGCUCGCGGCCUAUCAGCUUGUUGGUGAGGUAAUGGCUCACCAAGGCGUCGACGGGUAGCCGGCCUGAGAGGGUGACCGGCCACACUGGGACUGAGACACGGCCCAGACUCCUACGGGAGGCAGCAGUGGGGAAUAUUGCACAAUGGGCGAAAGCCUGAUGCAGCAACGCCGCGUGAGGGAUGACGGCCUUCGGGUUGUAAACCUCUUUUAGCAGGGAAGAAGCGAAAGUGACGGUACCUGCAGAAAAAGCGCCGGCUAACUACGUGCCAGCAGCCGCGGUAAUACGUAGGGCGCAAGCGUUAUCCGGAAUUAUUGGGCGUAAAGAGCUCGUAGGCGGUUUGUCGCGUCUGCUGUGAAAUCCGGAGGCUCAACCUCCGGCCUGCAGUGGGUACGGGCAGACUAGAGUGCGGUAGGGGAGAUUGGAAUUCCUGGUGUAGCGGUGGAAUGCGCAGAUAUCAGGAGGAACACCGAUGGCGAAGGCAGAUCUCUGGGCCGUAACUGACGCUGAGGAGCGAAAGGGUGGGGAGCAAACAGGCUUAGAUACCCUGGUAGUCCACCCCGUAAACGUUGGGAACUAGUUG
rnacentral:rRNA from 1 species